rnacentral:rRNA from 1 species
GCUAAACGCGAAGAACCUUACCCACACUUGACAUGCCUCUUUUGGCUUUCAGAGAUGAUUGCCUUCGGUUCGGCCGGGGAGUGCACAGGUGCUGCAUGGCUGUCGUCAGCUCGUGUCGUGAGAUGUUGGGUUAAGUCCCGCAACGAGCGCAACCCUUGCCAUCAGUUGCUACGAAAGGGCACUCUGAUGGGACUGCCGGUGACAAACCGGAGGAAGGUGGGGAUGACGUCAAGUCCUCAUGGCCCUUACGUGUGGGGCUAGAAACGUGCUACAAUGGGAGUGACAGUGAGCAGCAAGGUCGUGAGGCCAAGCUAAUCCCUAAAAGCCAUCUCAGUUCAGAUUGUAGUCUGCAACUCGACUACAUGAAGUUGGAAUCGCUAGUAAUCGUGAAUCAGCAUGUCACGGUGAAUACGUUCCCGGGUCUUGUACACACCG